GUCUAUGGCCAUAUCAUCCUGAACGUACCUGGUCUCAUCUGAUCUUGGAAGCUAAGCAGGGUUGAGUGUGGUUAAUAAGUGGAUGGAUGAAUAGGUCUUCAGUACUAAUAGCAAAACUUC
rfam:Felis catus isolate Cinnamon breed Abyssinian chromosome C1, whole genome shotgun sequence.